CGCGAACUGCAAGCCGAAAGCGAACACGCGCCGCUUAAUUCCACUGCGACUGCGGGAAGAGAAGGAAAAGUAGCGUCAGAAGCCGGAAGCGGAACUUCGGUAGUGCCCCGUCCUUGCGUCGCGCAUGCGCGUAGCUGUGGUUGCUGAUGCCGGCGAGGGAGAAAAUGGCGGUGGAGGGUCCUGAGCAAAUGGAGUUGGAUGAGGGCAAGGGUGGGACUGGGCUGCGCCAGUAUUACCUGUCCAAGAUUGAGGAACUACAGUUGAUAGUCAAUGAUAAAAGUCAGAAUCUCAGGCGGCUGCAGGCUCAGCGAAAUGAGCUCAAUGCCAAGGUACGCCUCCUCCGUGAGGAGCUGCAGCUUCUUCAGGAACAAGGCUCCUAUGUAGGUGAGGUGGUGAGGGCUAUGGACAAAAAGAAGGUGCUUGUUAAGGUUCACCCAGAAGGCAAGUUUGUGGUUGACGUUGAUAAAAACAUAGAUAUAAAUGAUGUGACCCCAAACUGUCGUGUUGCUCUACGGAACGACAGCUACACACUCCACAAGAUCCUGCCGAACAAGGUGGACCCCCUGGUGUCAUUGAUGAUGGUGGAAAAAGUGCCAGAUUCCACGUAUGAGAUGAUCGGUGGGCUUGACAAACAAAUUAAAGAAAUCAAGGAAGUGAUUGAGCUGCCUGUCAAACAUCCAGAGCUUUUUGAAGCUCUGGGCAUUGCUCAGCCCAAGGGUGUGCUGCUGUACGGACCCCCUGGUACUGGAAAAACUUUGCUGGCUCGAGCAGUGGCUCAUCACACGGAUUGCACCUUCAUCCGUGUUUCUGGCUCUGAACUUGUGCAGAAAUUCAUUGGAGAGGGUGCACGGAUGGUGCGUGAACUCUUUGUCAUGGCCCGUGAGCAUGCUCCCUCUAUUAUCUUCAUGGAUGAGAUCGAUUCCAUCGGCUCCUCCCGUCUGGAGGGUGGCUCUGGUGGGGACAGUGAAGUGCAGCGCACCAUGUUGGAACUGCUCAAUCAGCUCGAUGGUUUUGAGGCCACUAAAAACAUCAAGGUAAUUAUGGCAACCAACCGCAUAGACAUCUUGGAUUCAGCCCUGCUUCGUCCUGGUCGCAUUGACAGAAAAAUAGAAUUUCCUCCCCCCAAUGAAGAGGCUCGGCUGGACAUUUUGAAAAUUCAUUCUCGCAAGAUGAACCUGACACGGGGAAUCAAUCUGCGGAAAAUUGCUGAACUAAUGCCAGGGGCUUCAGGGGCUGAAGUUAAGGGUGUGUGUACAGAAGCCGGCAUGUAUGCAUUGAGAGAGAGGAGGGUGCAUGUAACUCAAGAAGACUUUGAAAUGGCUGUUGCAAAGGUGAUGCAAAAGGACAGUGAGAAGAAUAUGUCCAUCAAGAAACUCUGGAAAUAAAAAGCUGCUGCUCCUGCCUACCUGAUCACGUGGUUGAUAACAAUGGGAUCUGGAUGCUGCAGCAGUCCUGCCAACUUCAUGGGUAUCUCAGAGAAUCGCAUGCGGGUGCAGCCAAAGAUCUACAAUGGAGCAAGACACGAACCAUUAACGGACUCAGAGAAGAAGAAACCUCCCAUGGCAAGUUGGAGGCCCACAGACCAAACUGCUAGUAACCAGAGGCAAGAGUAACUAAUGUAAAGAGAAAAAAGCAAGAGACAGUAUGUUCUGGAUCUAUACAUCAGGAAGUUAAAUUCUCCCUGCAACAUUACAGAAAACAGAGUAACUCCACCUUCAACCCACUGCAGAAGAAAAAUAUCCAUCUACAGAGCACUAACCAAAGGAAUGAAUUCUAGCAGCUGAAAGGGCAAUCUAGCAAGGCUGCAGACUUAUUCUCCUUAUGCCCUCUCUUCCACCAUACAGAACUUGGUCCCUGAAGCCUGGUUGCCAGAUGUUUGCAGCUGCUUAUUUCAGCAUGUCACACCUCCCUUGGAUCAAGCUGACUGAGAACUUGCCAAGAAACUGAAUGUCAUUUGCAUCCUAUUUGUUUUUUAAAACAGCUGGUAAAACCAGGCCAUGCAGGCCCUAUGAGUGGCCAGAGGUAUGCAUGAGAGGAACAGAUUAAAGUCAAAUUCAUAGAAGACGCUUAUAUAAGCAGAGCCCAGCAUAUACUGAAGCCAGAGGAAAGCAACAAGAAAUACCAAAAUGAGACUGGAAGAGAAUAGGCUGCUACUUAAACACUGUCACCUGAUUUCUCAUCAGCAAAUCACCUAUAAGAGACUUAGAAUUUGGACCAGCGGGAGCUGGAUGACCACAGCCAAAACACUUUUCCUUCAGCCUCCCUUUUUGAAAUAGGGAGAUGAUAUCUCACAAAGCUUUCAAAAAGAUUACUGACAGAAGUUAUGUGGAGCGUUCUGUACAGUUAAAAUGUAGCAUAUAAAUGCAUUAUAUUAUGUUAAAUUCUUGUAAGGAAAGAAAUGUGCAAAGAAAUUGCUUUUGAAAGCUGGGCAUUAGCCAGGAGACUGGUAGAGAAAAUUGGUGUGCAACAAAUUGUUUCUGGGUAUCCCAGCCCACAAGUCCUUUUCAGAACUCCAGCUAACUAUGCCAUCCCCAAAGACUCUAGAAGCUGUUAGGGACUCAAGUAAGCCAAUCCUGCCUCCUCUAGAAAACUUGUUUUCUAUGUUAUUUUUCAAAUUGGCAUUCAACAUUCCUUGGCUCUAGGAGACCACUGAAAACCAUUAACUUGCCUGUAUUUCUUACUUCCACUCAAUUUCCACCAGUUUCACAUCUCUGUUAGAUCAAGAAGUUCAGAAGGGGUUAAGAGAGCCUGGGAAGUGUCCUCCUUCAGUUAUUUUUCAGCUAACUGAAAACAGAUCUUGAGUGAAUUCAAGGUCCCUUGGCCCAUCACAUGUUUUCAACAGAUUCUGCUGUUCAGUGCCAAGAGCUAGCAACCACACAGAGCACCCUGGGAGAGAAAUCAAUGAUCAGGGAUGAUAAUAAUUUAUACACAAUAUUUGGAAGGUCCCUGCCACACAACCAUCUUAAACGUAAUGGUAUUCCUCAACUAACAUUUCCACCAUGAACUGCCAAUGAGUAUUAAGUCCCUUGACUAGAAAAGCACAUCACAAGCUAGUUCUCACUGCAAUAGCAAACCUGUUAGGGCUGUACCACUUCAGACACAAGGCAGAGCUUUGUAUGAAGUGGUUGAAGCCCCAUCAGUGCGGGUGUUCAAGGGUAAGCUGGACAUGCAAAUGGUAGACAUGUCAUGAGCAGAGCUGGCUGGAGCCGGGGGUCAGACUAGAUGGCCUGCCCAGGAGGCCCCUUCUGACUCACUCUGUUUCUGUGUUUCUAUAAUGGAAUGAUCCUCCAUGCAAAAAGAAAGAUAGAAAUUACAAUGGAAUAAAUAUAGAACUUCACAGCCACAACUGACAAAUCAGGGAGAAAUCUAGGCUUGAAGCUCCCACCCAGUUUGAAAUAAUACAGAUACAGGUCUGGUUUUGUGACCAAGAUUGUCUUGGCCAUGCUAGUAGAUAAACUAUGCCAAAAGACAAAUAGCAGGAGAGUGUCUUAAUCAAUUUUUUGGAUCUCUUAGCAGCAUUUGCUCCCAUCAACAAUGGUAUCUUUCAGGACUGUUUGGAUGGUUGAGACUAGAUGGCACUUAGUAGUUGUUCCAAUCCUAGCUAUCUGGCAGUUUUCAGAAAGGUGGGGAUACCUGUUCUGUCCCAUAGGAACUACCACAGAGUUCCAUUCUGAGCAUAUUAUUUCUUAACCUUACAGGAAAUUGAUGGAGGAAGUCGUGAGAGGUUUUAGAGUAGUUUCAUUAGGAACACAGUGGUAUCUGCUCUUUCAAAUGAAAUCCCAGGAAGGGAACAGAUUCUCUGAAUUAGUAUCUUGAUUCAAUACUGAGUUUAAUGAACUGAAAUUAAAUUCAGACAAGACAGAUGUAGGCAUGGGCCUUGGAUGAAGGGUGAAUGGACUAUUUUGCAUGGACUGCAACUGCAUUCCUGAAGAAACAGGUCUACAGCUUUAGGCUGCACUCCUGAAUCUGGCCCCCGUCCUGUUACUUCAGAUGGUAGCUGAGCCCUGAUGUGACAGAUACAUCCUUUCUUUAAUCACUGGGACACUGCCUGCAUAACAGGCUUUGGAAGCCUCUAUACUGGACUACAAGAAUGCAAUCAAUACAGAGCUAUCUAUGAAGGCUGUUUAUAAAGUACAACUGUUUUAAGAAGUGGCAAGCAGAAUUUUAACUGGCCUAGGUUACUCACACCACAACACUAGUCUCAAGAGAUUUACACUGACUGCAUGUUUGUUGCCAUGCCCUUAUGUGCUGUUUUGCCAUUUAAAAACCUCUAUAAUUUGAGUCCUGAGCAUCUGAAGAAAUGCCUCCACAUGUAUGAAGUUCAUCCCUUGGAGAAUAUUAUUUAGCCCCUGGAUUCUCCAGCAUGGAUUUCUUCAGGAUUCUGUUCUGUCCUCUAUGCUUUAUUAUUAUUAAUAUGACAUUAUAUUUCUGCCUGGCACCAAAUUUCCCAUCUUUUCAGUGCCACAUUAUGACAGUCCUCUUUGCAAAGGCCUUUAAAGAUCUGCCUGGUUUUUCAGAGGCCGGACACCAUUAGCCAGGUGCCUUUCUUUUACUCUUAGCUGGGUAUUUUUAUUGCCUUUUAAUUGUCUUUUAAUAUUAUUUUAAAUUAUUUUUAAUUCUUAUGUUUUUGUCUAUUGUAAUUUGUUGUUUUUAGACUUUGUUCUAAACUGCCCAGAGAGCUUUGGCUAUGGGAAGUGCAGAAAUGAAAUAAAUUAUCAUCUUCAUCUAUACAGAUGUUUCUGCUAAUAUUCCAUCCCCACGUCUAAAAUACAAUGUCUAGCAAUUUCUCACUAGUGGCCCAAAAUUCUCUGCUCAGUGCAGCCUGCUUGCUAUUCUCCUUACUGGCUUUUAGAUAGAUGAAAACUGUUUUAGUUCAGAAUGUUCUUCAAAUCAGAUUUUAAACUGGAGAACUAUUAUUCCAGCAUUCUUAUUUUUGUUUUAAAAUGUGUUUUACUCAUCUUAUCGCCCCUAUUUUAAUAUUUUGAUCUGAACCACUGUCAUUCUAUAUUAUGAACUUUUCCAGAAGUUUUACAAAAAACAUCAGUCUUGAUGAAAGGCCUACCUCAUGAAGGCAUGUCCUCUUCCCUCACCAUCAGCAGCCAUUCCUUCAGGCUGAGCUGACGGAGAUGAGAUGGAGAGCACGGCAAUUCUAAUAGCACUGCUAAAAUAAUUACUUCCCAUCCCCCUUUCCCUUCCCAUUCACCGUGUCAUGUAUUUUUAGAUGGUAAGCCUGUGACCAGGCGUGAUUGUCCGUAAUUGUUUAUAGGUAAACUGCUCUGUAAGUCCUUUAGGGUGAAGAGCAGCUUUAAAAUAUUCCACAUACAUACUGCAUUUUCCUUUGGUGAAAUUUGUUACUUUGUACAUCUUUGAUUAAAUUAGCAUGGGCAGAGGGCUUGUUCAUCUUGUUUCUGGGCAUCUAUGCCUACCUUACAACUCCCAGCUGGCAGUGGAAAGGAAAAGAAAAACUAGCAAAAAAGUUCUAGAAGAAGGGUAGAAAAGAAAUAUAGAAAAUGUGUCAGGAAAAGGAUCAGAUUUGUUAACAUGUUGAUUUUGCUUCUCUGUGCCAUUUGUUCUUUUGUUGUUGAGACUGCAGUUCUACACACAGACAAGUCAGACUGAAGGACAGACCAAGAUGUGGGACCAAAGAGCAAGUCAAGACUGAAGAACAGCUAAAGGAUACACACAACACCACAACACAGUGUUUCCUGGAGCAAUGUUGCUUAUAUUCCUUCCUGUCCGCCCAGCCCAGGCCAGGCCCUGAGAGUACUUCAUUCCCUAGGAAGAUGCUGCAACCUGCCUUUUGCUGGUUCACUGCACAGGCAGAUAAACAAUGAUCUCAUUACUACCACUUCAAAUAACAACAACUCCCAACAGCUCCCAACAUUACUACCACUUCAAAUAACAACAACUCCCAACAGCAAGCAAGUUUUUGUUUUAUUAUGAUUAAUUUUUAUUGUGAAUUUCUAUAGAACUGCACAAAAACAUAAAAUGAAAAAGAACCGAAGAGAAAGAAACAAGAUUUUUGAUUUUAGACUUUUAUAUCCCAGCAUGAUUCUUUUACUAAUAGAGGCGAAUGGAUACUAGUCAUGGAUGAGUCAUGGACCACUGCCUGGUAAAUAUAAGGUACUGCAAGGAAAAGUAUCAAGGCUUAGAUUAAUGUGCAUCAUAAUUGCAAAAAUUGUGCCACUAUCUUGCACUGCUGCAUGUGUUCUUUUGAGCAUCAGAUUGAUCCAAAAGCACACCUAAGUCAUGUACCUACUUCUUCAGAGGUAAAGCAACCUUAUCCAGAGCAUGGAAGCAACCCAAAGCCCAGAACCGAGAAGUGCCCACUGAAAAGGUCUCUGCUUUAUCAGACCUUCAACUUCAGUUAGUGCAAGCCUACCAGCUAGUUGCCAGUACCUGCCUCUUCCCUGCCAGUUUGGUUGGCCAUUUUUAUUAGGUUUUUCUUCAUUCACUUUAGCUUAAUUUCAUUUAGCAAGGGAGUGGAUUUGGUUCUUGUGCUUUCUGAACUCCUUUUAACAUAGCAAAUCUGUUGUCAGGAUUGUGUAUUUUCAUCAAGAUUUAUCACAGCUGAAUGUAUGAACAAUCUUGCUCCACCUUUUAAGAUAAAUUUGUCAUAUAGUUUCUGAAAUGGAAAGAGAAAGCACAGACUGUUUAUUAGCAAAUGAUUUUUUUUCCAGAGAGGAAUUUCUCAGAUAUAGUUUAACCAAAUUCCAAAAAGGACUCAGAGGGGAAUACUAUUUAAAUGGUCAAGGGCACCCAAAACCAUAUCUUCCUGCACAGAAUGUCCAAAGCAUUUUCCAAAGGCCUAACAUUGUAUACAUGUGUGUGUGUAUGCAGGUGUGACCCUAAAGGUAGUCAAUAAAACAGCUUGAACAGA